GCCAUAUGAUGAGCUAAUGGCAAAUGUGACUCCAUCCUCUGGGUAUGUCCUCUUCUUGUGGCCCUCGGUCUGUAAUCUUGGUGGCUGUGUAGGAAUAUCUCACUGUCGCUGUAAGGCCAGACCAACAGCAGCUUUUAUUGCUGGUCCUCCUUAACCUGUAAUCAUAAACAGCCCAUCAGAGCAAUGAGGGUGCUGUUUGUGAGGAGACCUACAAGUGACUGACCUUAAGGGGGCAGGGCAGAGGCCAUCACUAGUGAAAAAGAGGUGGGGAGAAAUGAUCAUUAAUCUUUGGUAAUCUGAUGGCA